UGGGCAGGCUGUUCUUGAGGGAGGUGUUGCCUUGACUGAAGAGCAGAUACUAGAACAAACAGGGCGCAUUACAGCAGCAGGCUGAACUUCAGCAGCAACAACAACAGCAGCAGGAGCAAUAUACAGGGUAUUUUCCAGAGGCUGAUGAAGAUACUUUUGUGCCACCGCCAGACUUGAAUGUUCCACCUGGGAUGAUUGUGCCAGAGACUGUGAAGCAAAAUAAGAUCAUAGUUAAAACAUCCAAGUUCAUUGUGACACAAGGUGGACAGAUGGAGAUUGUAAUCAAGACAAAGCAAGCUGGAAAUCCAAUGUUUAGUUUUUCUCUCCUUUGAACAACCCAUUAAAUGCUUACUACAAACAUAUGGUAUCCAUGAUAAAAAGUGGCAGAUAUCGGCCAAGUGAGGAAGCAGAGUCAGGAAGAAAUAGGAAAGAGAGCGAGGGAAGUGAAGGUCAAUACCUGCAUCCAAGCCUCUCAGCUGGCAUAAAGCCUGAUCUUGCACCUGGAACACCCCCACUGCCAUUCACAAGCCAACAGCUGAUUGUGCAUAUUCAAAACUAAUACACAAGAUUAAAGAAAAACAGAAAGGCACUGUGGUAGUAGAGGGUAAAGACUCACCAGCACCAGUACUGGUUGCUUCAUCAACGCCGGUAUCUGCAGCCUCAGCAGAGGUUGGAGAUCCCCUGAAGAAAAAGAAGUUACAGACAGACAUCACACCAGUAGGUUCUCCCAAGAUCACUAGCUUGGUUGAUUAUCCUUCAUUCAAUCAGACAGCAGAACAUAAUUCAGAUGAUGACAACAAUGAUUCGGAGAUGGAUGAAAAUGAACGGUGCCUAAGCAAAGAGAUGGACUGUCGGGACACAGAGUAUAGUAGCAUUAAGUGGCCUCCUCCAGAUGUGCAAAUGGUCAUUGACAAGAUGGCCAGCUACAUCAUCAAGAAUGGUGCUGAUUUUGAAGCCAUGGUCAGAAGUCGAGAUGACCCCAGAUUUGAUUUUAUGAAGAAGGACCAUGAGUUUUAUUCCC